CCUCCCGAGUGCUUGCACUCAAUUGGAAAGAGGAGUGGCGGACGGGUGAGUAACACGUGGGUAACCUACCCAUCAGAGGGGGAUAACACUUGGAAACAGGUGCUAAUACCGCAUAACAGUUUAUGCCGCAUGGCAUAAGAGUGAAAGGUGCUUUCGGGUGUCGCUGAUGGAUGGACCCGCGGUGCAUUAGCUAGUUGGUGAGGUAACGGCUCACCAAGGCCACGAUGCAUAGCCGACCUGAGAGGGUGAUCGGCCACACUGGGACUGAGACACGGCCCAGACUCCUACGGGAGGCAGCAGUAGGGAAUCUUCGGCAAUGGACGAAAGUCUGACCGAGCAACGCCGCGUGAGUGAAGAAGGUUUUCGGAUCGUAAAACUCUGUUGUUAGAGAAGAACAAGGACGUUAGUAACUGAACGUCCCCUGACGGUAUCUAACCAGAAAGCCACGGCUAACUACGUGCCAGCAGCCGCGGUAAUACGUAGGUGGCAAGCGUUGUCCGGAUUUAUUGGGCGUAAAGCGAGCGCAGGCGGUUUCUUAAGUCUGAUGUGAAAGCCCCCGGCUCAACCGGGGAGGGUCAUUGGAAACUGGGAGACUUGAGUGCAGAAGAGGAGAGUGGAAUUCCAUGUGUAGCGGUGAAAUGCGUAGAUAUAUGGAGGAACACCAGUGGCGAAGGC
rnacentral:rRNA from 1 species